GGGUCACUGACAGCCUUUCUCGGCUUUUUCUCUCAUCUCCAGUCUCCACACAUUACUUUCAGGAGGUUGGUGUUCAUCAGCUGUCUUCGUGUAUUAUUUCAACAAGAGCGAUGAAUGGUCUUCAAGAUGCCUGGUUGGAUGGCCUCUGGUGGAGCUGGGCUGCAGGUGACCCGGCAGGUGUGAGCCGGCGGCGGGAAGGGACCAGACACAGCUCUGCCCCAGCAGCCCGCCGGGCUCUGCUCACCGUCUGCUCCCCACGCCGAGGUCCUUUGGAGUCUCCAUGGAGGUUAGUGGCUGUGAAGAUGGCUUCCCCCCAUCUGUGUCCUCUGGGUCUUGUGGGAAAAAGGCACCAAGAGCUCCGUGGGUGUGCACCCGUGACAGUAGAGGAGACAGGUGAGUUCUGCGUGUAAACGGAAGGGCCGCGUGAGGCGCCUGCAUUCGGUCGGGAGGUCCCAGACCCCAGCCCCGCUGCCGGCUGGGAGCCAUGGGGAGACUGAUGAUGUGGGGUUGGGGAGUGGGGGGCUGGCUGGGCUGAGCUCGGAGCUCCUGGCUCCUAGCAAGGCCAAGUCGGUCUCUUAGGCACCUGACAACCGUGACCCCAGGCCUGGAGCCGCCAGGCCCCUGGAGGGAAGGAGCAUGCUUGCCAGAUGAAGACUUCAGUUAUACCAUUGACAGAAUGCUGGUCGUUCCAUGAGAGCACAGUCCGGAUGUUGGAGGGAGAGGUGUGUCAUUCCCGGCGGAGGGUCGUCGUGUUCCCGUGGACUCUGCGGCUCUUACCCACAGGUCUGUGGCACCGUGCUGCGGGGCUCCUUGUCUCCUGCGGCCUGUGUCUGGGGGCCGGGAGUGCACCAUCUGACACCCUCGGGGCUGCCCUGAUGGUUCCGGCUGGGCAUGGCCUAUUUCCCGGAGGGGCUCAGGAAUGGGUGAGUCCUGCCGUCUCUGCCCUGGAGUAGUUCACCACUGUUUGCACUGGACAUUUUCUCCAAAUGGGGAUGGAAUGAAACGGUCUGCAUAACCAUGCUCAGGCCACAAAUGCUAUGAUUUGUCUGUUUCUCGUUGAAUGUGUGUUGUUUAGGAAGGAGAACACAGAAAUAAAAAUCUUGUGUAUAUCA
rnacentral:lncRNA from 1 species